UUAGCGGCGGACGGGUGAGUAACACGUGGGUAACCUACCUAUAAGACUGGGAUAACUUCGGGAAACCGGAGCUAAUACCGGAUAAUAUUUCGAACCGCAUGGUUCGAUAGUGAAAGAUGGUUUUGCUAUCACUUAUAGAUGGACCCGCGCCGUAUUAGCUAGUUGGUAAGGUAACGGCUUACCAAGGCGACGAUACGUAGCCGACCUGAGAGGGUGAUCGGCCACACUGGAACUGAGACACGGUCCAGACUCCUACGGGAGGCAGCAGCG
rnacentral:rRNA from 1 species